rnacentral:rRNA from 1 species
UGGGGAAUAUUGGACAAUGGGGGGAACCCUGAUCCAGCGAUGCCGCGUGAGUGAAGAAGGCCUUCGGGUCGUAAAGCUCUUUAGGUUGGGAAGAAGUGUUCGAGGUGAAUAGCCUCGAAUGUUGACGGUACCGACAGAAUAAGCACCGGCAAACUCUGUGCCAGCAGCCGCGGUAAUACAGAGGGUGCGAGCGUUAAUCGGAGUUACUGGGCGUAAAGGGCGCGUAGGCGGUUAGAUGUGUGUGAUGUGAAAGCCCCGGGCUUAACCUGGGAAGGGCAUCGCAAACUGUCUGACUGGAGUAUAUGAGAGGGUGGCGGAAUUUCCGGUGUAGCGGUGAAAUGCGUAGAGAUCGGAAGGAACGUCGAUGGCGAAGGCAGCCACCUGGCAUAAUACUGACGCUGAGGCGCGAAAGCGUGGGGAGCGAACAG